CACGUGUCACGCCAGGAAACAACAAGACGACGACAUUAGCGAUUAAAUGGCGGCCAUUGCUAUUGCCGUAAACUAGGCGGGGAGGAAGUGGAGCUUCGCUUACGUUGCGAGGCAAAAAGUGGGCAGAGCCCGCGAAGGAUAUGAGCUGGUCGGGAGGCGGAGAAGAAAGACACACGCAACAGAGGAGGCAAGCGAGCUGCAUCAACAGGAAAGCGCACCAGAGCCAUGGCGCCCAAACGCUCACUAAAACGACGAAAAUUGUUAGAAAACAACACGCCAACCGGAGCAGACGACGGCGGAUAGUCGGAAACGACGAUGUUGAUGGAUUCCACUUGGCCGAUAACACUGGGCUGUAGAAGGACGGGAUCAGCUAACCCAAGGAAGAUGGGCUGACGUCAGGCUACGAAGACAAUUGCGGAUGGAUUUGUCCGAUUUACUCUCCAGAGUAGAAUUAGACAUGGACUGGUAGGAUUUUUCAAAUUGGGAUCAAUAGAAGACAGCUCAACCUCAUACAAGUGGAUUUCGCAGACAGUGGAGACAGCGCUAAUACGCGAAGAUAGCGUUGUUUAACGUGAAGAUGGCAAUUUUUUGGCAAGCUGAACCCGUUUUUUGACGACGUUUCGUAUGGAUUUUUAAAAAGAUUUUACAACGCAGCGGACAUUGGAACAAUGUUGCUAGCUGUGGACUUAACAUUUUCAAUGUUUUUGAGACGCAGUAAAUUAGCAAAUGUACUCAUGCUGCUUUGAAUAAAGUAUACUUUAUUUUUUUCUUGGCUUCGUUUUAUUAGAUAUUCCGCUAUUUGGCACUGUAUUUUGAAUUUGUUUACAUUCAUAUUUCAGAUGUUUGCAACAGUUAUUUUCAAAUAACUUAGUAAUUAUAAACAAUGCAUUUGUCAUUGAAUGGUAUCCAGAAAGAUUGAUUACUCGUAUACAUUUCAAAUAGUGUUCUGUAUGACAAAAGGAUGUGAAGUGUUUUCGUGUCAUUAUUCCUAGUGGUUACUGCAAUAUGAUGUCAAAUUAAUAAAAGAGUGAAACAGGUUCUGAAAUGGUUAAGUAGCAUUUUGUGAGAAAUGAAAUGGCUUCCUACGGCUUUCUAAAAUGGCUUCUCUGGCUUAUCUUCUUCCUGUUCAUGCAGGAAGUGAUGCAAUUGCUGCAAAAGGGGAGAAAAUAUUUCCACUCUUCGUUAUUCUUUGUCCACUUAAGUGAGCCGAUUACUUUCGGUGGUGUUUCUUUAAUUGUGAUGAACAUAAUUUUACGUUUUUGUAAACGAAAAGUUAUAGAUGAAGGGGAGGGACUUAAAUAUCACCUGAGUGUUGGCUAAAUGAAAAUAACGUCAAUCAAAGGCUUUCAGAGCUAGGAAGGAGCUCUAGAUGGCGGAUGAUCCUUAGGAAGGCUGCUGUAGGCUGUCGUCAUUCCAUUUUUCUUGCCCCUGUGUCGACUGAGGCGACGUCCUGCUAUGUUCUCGUGAUGCCUCGGCACACUCGCUCGACGUUUUGACGGGUUUGACGUCGUUUCGCCGCGCUUUUGUGGCCGUUUUUGCGCGUCGAAGAAGCCGUCUGGGCUUGCCGUUGUUUUCCAUGCAGGGCUCCGGCAGCCAUGGCGCGCCUCCAUUUUUAGAGUGCUGCUCUUGUCUCUCUGACGCUUGACAGCAGAGCGGGUUCCGAGAGGCCCACGAUGUAUUUAAAACCUGAUUCUUUUUGUAUUUAAUAACAUAUACCUUAUUUUUUUUCAGUCUGGUUUGAUUUUUGAGAUUUUAUUAUAUUUUGCAACCGCGGCGAAUCGAAACGAAAUAGUUUAUCUAUCGGUACUGCCUUGUUAUGAGGUUGCUCUGUUUACAUUAUUUGCUGAAUUAAUCCCAUAUUACUUUAUUUUUAAUGUCAUUUUCCCCGCGAUGACGCAGUUACAAUUAAUUGAUGCGACUCGGCACUUGGACAAAUCGCUUGCAUAUGUUGGCUAAUGGAAUAGCACAUACCUUUUGGAACUAUAUAUUCCGUCUAUAUAAUGAUAAUGAUAGAUAAUGCCCAAUCAUUUGUAUUUAAUUCCACUUUCUCCUCUGGCGUCGCACCGCUUGGGAUUUAAAGUGCCUGUCGAGGGGCGAAGGCAAUCUUGAGGGACUUGUGUGCUACUUUAUGCCUCCUGGAACUUUUUUUUUUUUUUACACGAAUACCAGGACAUCAGAUCACCUCUCCCUAAGGAUAUAUACACACAUUUAAAGCAUACACAUUUUUCUUCAACGAUGAAGAACAGAAAUAAAAAGCAAGUGGAAGAAGGAUCGACUCAGAGCAAUGCUUCCAGCAAUUCAGCCUCGGAAGAAUCCAAUCGC